AAAAGUAACGAGGUUGAUUCGUUUGACUAAAGCCCUUCAAGCAUGACCGCACAGAAAAACAAAUAACACACCCACGCUCACAGAUAUCGUAGACUGAUCCAUGGAAAGGCCAAUCAACUGAAUCAGCAGUAAAUCAUUUCUACUUCUCUCUUACAGACGGACUGCCUACUCUCAACUGCUACUACAAUGGCCUCUGCUUUUCAGAGCUAGCUGUUUUUUGUGCUACCCUACAUUCAGGUGCUCUCAACUCACCUAUCAUCAAUAAUAUGCAAUCCCGCUCAGCCCCCGUACAAUCACUACCUUAAUCCCUCUGCUCUAGAACGCCAGUCCUCUGAAAUUCCCUCCUUGGUCAUAUCUCUCCUCUAGGCAUCAACAUGCAACAGUUUAAGCUGAAAGUUAAUGGCAUUAAUUUCAUUGAUCUUGCUAAGUAAAAAAACAAACAAACAAAAACAACAGCGUAUGUCCUCGCAUACGCUGACACACGCAGAAAUAUGCGUAUCGCCUAGCAAUGUCACAACCGGUUAAAAAGAAAACAUCUUGAUGUAAAGCAACAGUAUGAUCGAUCAAAGGAAUGUUUCUGUUAAGUUAAAUUAUUUAUUGGAGAGGAUGAGACAUCUGCCGCUUUGUUUACAUUAAAAACCAACAGAUCAGGAAGGCUUACAGUUUAUUGAACAACUGAAAAGUUGUUGGCUGAUACUUAACCAAACAUCAUUAAUAACGUUUAAUUACAAUUCACUGUUUAUGAUUUAAGAAGCUUUAUGCUCGAUCAAAUCCGCAGGAUAUACAAUUCAGUAGGAGGCGUUAGAUGAAGCAUGCAAGAUGCAAUAGGAGUACUAUCAAGAGAUCUAACUAAAACCCUUUGGAAUUGAAUCAAGUGGGAGACUUCAGUUAAGUGGCAAAAGCACAAAAACAAAAAACAAAAGAGAGAGUAAGUGAUAUAAAAGAGGUGACCAAAUAAGUGAGCAGUGAGAAGACAGUCAACAGUAGCAGAAAGUCGGACUGCUGUGACCACAAGUUCGUAGUAUACAUACGAACACAUUAAACUGGAUGACCAUUAACGCCGACUGAUCCAUGUGGAAUUUAAGCAGCCUAAGUUUACUGUUUCCUUUCCUGGACUGGAACUACAAAUACAGUAAAUGCUGCAACAUCAAUAAAUUAAGAAAGAAGUAGCCAAUCAAGUGGUAUAAAAUCUCAAAAUGACAUACAGAGAAUUACUAAAUGUCUUUGACAAAGACUCUUCCUCUAAAUGUCAUCAAUGCAGUAGUAAUAUUUUGUUCUCACUCAUACUAUUUACUGGAAUCUCUCAAAUUGGUUUGAGUAUUGGCCUUUUAUUUCUGUGUAGAAAUCAGAUAAGUGAGGUAUCUUGUGCUUUCUCACUAAAAGCUCACCCUUGUACAGGUUUAGCCGCCCCUGUCUAUAUUGGAUGUCUUAUUCUCUGCAUAGCAAUUUUUGGAUUUGCUUGUCUUGGUCGGCGAGCAUCAGCAGCACUACUUUUACUCAUUACUGUUGGUGACAUUUGCCUGGGUUUUAUGCAAUUAGCAAGUGAGAAAAUUCUGUUCACUGACUAUUUUAAUACAUUUAAUUCAAGAGAAAUAUGUCAAUCUGCCCAACAAAAUUCAUCUCAACUUUUACAGUGCUGGAACCAUAUUACACAUCUAUACCCAGCCUGUAGUAUAUAUGAACAUGAGAUAACCAAUGACUGUGUUCACAGCUAUAAUAUUUACUUCAAUCGAUCAAGUCAAUCUGAAAGUAACAGAACUACUGUGCCAUGCAUUAGUGAUGUAAAUAGAUUGGUCAGUUCAACUUAUACGGACUUCCGAUUUAUGUGUGGCCCUAUUGUAUUACUCAAUGCUUUUGUCUGUGUCAUUCUUAUACUAUUUCUAGAGUUUUUUCAUCAACAGAAACAGAAUAGUAAGAAACAGCAACAUGACUUAGCAGCACUGGAAGGAAUUUAUGAAAUUUCUGAACAAAAGUAAUAAAAAUAUUUAUUCAAUGUCAAUAACUUACAUGGAUAUCCUCAUAAUCGUACUUCGGUUCACAUUCUAUUUUACUAAAUAAGCCAACUUUUGGUGAUCAUUCUAAAUUGAAUUAAAAGUAUUUUCUAAUACUAAUAAUAUUGAAUUUUCGUCUCUGUUUUUAGAAGGACAUUAACUAAAGAUCUAAAGUGUCAAACAGACCAUAUGUAUUAUAUAUUUAUAUACAUAUUUAUUUAAAUACUGAGUGUAUUUUAUUUAAUCUAAAUAAGAACUAAAUAGCAAGUCAUAGAAAGCAUAUUCAGGUUGCCUUUCUGCCAUAAUUUUAUAAGAAAUCUCAACUUCAAAAUGAUAAAAUUAGUUAUUUUACUAAAUCCUUACAAAUUCUAGAUUAUUUCAAAUUUUAAUUGAAGCAUGUUAGUAGUGUUUUGUUAGAAACAUGAUUAUAAAAGAAUUAAAUUUAAUGAUUCGACCAACCAAAGCCAGAAUGGAAAAUGGAUAUAACUUGCAAAAAAAAAAGAAAAAAAAUCAACAUAAUAGUUGUGUGAGUUAUGUGUGUAUAAAUAUGCCAUGAUAAAAACAAAACUACUACUUACUUUUAACAAUUAUCUUUGAAAUUUUUCCUAUUUAUAUAUAUUUUUAAAUGUGCUAGUAAAACUGCAAAAAUUCCCAUAAUGUUCCCAUUUUGAGUGCUCCUUAUACAAUAAGGAUUGUUGAAAUCCACAUCUAAACUUUUCACAGUUGUUUCUUUUGCAUAUGUAUUCCAGGUGCUAAUCUUGUGUAGUACAGUUUAACAUCACAUUUCACCUAAACAUUGAAGCCUACAGUCAUUGUAAGGAUGGUCCACUCUCGCCUUUUGCUACUUGCUACUCAAUUGGAAAUAGGAUUGCUAUUUGAAUUGAGAGAAAAUUCCUACUAUUUUUUUUUUUUACAUCUAAUAUCUAAUUUCAAUGAAGAUUUUUUAAGAUGUAUUGUCAGCUAUUUGUAGAUAUUUUUACUAAUGUAAUAUAAUAUGAGAUUGACAAUAGUCACAUGGACAAGUAAAAUCAUAUAUUGGUUAAUUGUGUUAAAUUUCUUAUCAAAGUGAUCAAUAUUGGUUGUAGUUGUUGUACCCCUUUAUCCUAAGUUAAAGUAACUUGUAAUAUUGUGUAAUGGAUUGAUUAUAUAUGUAUGAUAUGCACCUCUAGAGUAACAUUACUUGAUAGGGUGCAUAGCUCAGAGAUCAGGGAAUCGCUCUAGGUUGAGCUGUUACUCUUCCACACUGGGAGGUCACAACUCUGAUACUAUGGACAUGUGAUAAGAACGUCUUAAGAAAGAAUCACAAGGUGAAUUCUUCAAGCUGAACCAACCAGCAGGAGACCUAGGAGUAGAUUUAGAAUGAGAUGGUUGAAUAAUAUCCAAAGUUUCAGUUGGUUGCACUUGGGAAUCCAAAGGGAAAGUCUAACGAUGGCUGCUUCUUAUGGAGGAGAUGCCUGAAGAUUCUACCCCAACAAACCUCCCAGAAAUAGUGAGCAGAAAAGUUGGAUGGAUGGAUGGAGAUGUACCUAAGACUGGUGCAGUGUACAAAUGUACACUGUUUAACUUUCUUAUUUAGCCACAUUCUUGUAUACCACUUAUGAACUGAUCAGAGGAAAUGUGAUGUCAAACUACAUUAAGAAUGUCCAACAGCCAGUAUGCAUAUGGAAAAAAGAAACAAUAUGAAGAACUUAGUAUCAAUUCUUAAAAUUAAGUCUUGGUAAGCAUUGAAGAACACUCAUAAUAUAGAUCUCUUGAUGCUAAAUUAAAAGACACAUCUAUAAAUUUGAAAAGUUUUAAAAACAAAUUAUAUCCAUAUUUUAUAAUGACAUAUACAAAGACACAAAUAUUGGGUCAUCCCAUAGAUAAUGUGAUUUUUUUUGUACGUCUUUUAUUAUUCAAAAAUUAAGAUAAAGUUCUUUUUUAAUCUAAAAUAUAUUCUCCUUCAUUUUCUACAAUGCUUUUCCAUCAAUCUGGUAGAUUUGCAAGGCCCACCUUCCAAAUUUCACUUGUCCAUGACGAAAAAUACUCCUCCACUACUGUUCUGACCUCAUCUACAGAAUUCAUAUUUUUUCUAUCCAAAUGAUUUUGAAGGAUGUGGAAUAAAUGAUAAUCAGAUGGGGCAAUGUCUGGUGAAUAUUGUGGGUGGGGCAUAGUUUCUCAUUCAAACUGCUCCAGCCUUUGGAGUGUCAUCCUCGCUGUAUGUGGCUGAGCAUUAUCCUGAUGGAAGAACACCUUUUGUCUUGAAACCAAAGAUGGUCAUUUUUCUUCUACUGCUAACUUAAGCUGCUCAAGCUGUUCACAGUAGAUCUCCUUUGUUAUUGUUUGAUUUGGGUUUAAAAGUUCAAAUUGGACUAAACCUUUCAUAUCCCACCAAACAGAUAACAACACCUUAUGUGGGUGAAGACCUUCUUUAGCCUGGGGUGCCAGUGUUUCUCCUUUCCCUACCUACUGUCUUUGGCACCUGACAUUUUUAUAAAGAACUCAUUUCUUGUCACCAGUCACUAUUCAAUCCAAAAAAGGUUCACUUGUGAGAUGUGGCAGCAAAGAAGAGCACACACUCACUCUCUGCAUGCAAUUAAAUUCAGAAAGCUUGUGAGGAACCCACUGACCCAAUUUGCUGAUUUUUCCAGUGACAUGCAGGUGUCGAUGAAUGGUUGAAUGACCAAAUCCAAGCUUCUUUGCUAGUUCCUCAACAGUUACGAUGAGAUUUUGUUCCACCAAGGUUUGCAGGACGUCCUUGUUGAGCUCCACAGAUUGUCCAGGAUGAGGUUCGCCUUCUAGACUGUAGUUUCUGGUUUGGAAUUUCUGGAACCACUGUUGACACUGGCUUAUGUUUAUUCUCCAAUCCCCAUAUACUGCAUUAAUAAUCCUCGCACUUUCCAUUGUGUUGUUACUUUUAUUGAACUUAUAAAGCAAAAUAUGCCGAAUAUGCUCCUUUGUCACUUCCAUUAUAGCUUUGAAAAAAUAACUGUUAAAACUGAACUGCACUCUUCAAAACUUGCACUAAGAAUAAGUACAAGGGUAAAAUUACUACCUGCUUUUAUAACAAGUUGAUGCAAGUAGUUUAUCCCAUCCCUCUCCAACUUUUAGUUCAUGCAAUUGAAAAAACGCAUUAUUUACAGGAUGACCCAAUACUUACACAUGCUCACUCACAUAUGUCAUUAUGUUAACAUUUUCCCCAUGAAACAGUUUUCUAAACAUAAAAUACAAUAAACAUAAAUUAUGCAUAUUAUUGAAAUAACUCACAAUUUAGCUCAAUGAUGUUGUAUAAUGUGACAAUUCAUCCAUUACAUACCUGCUCUUGAAGCUGUCUGGUUUCUUCAGGUGAAUGAGAAGGCCAAUGCAGGAUACCUUGCCGGAGACAGAGAGCAGUGUUAUUCUAUGCUAGUUGUUGCAGUCACUUAGGGCUCCUUUCUUGGCUACUUUUCCUAUUACUCAAUCAAUUUUUCUUGUAUCAUGAAAGAAUCAUUGUGCAAAGUGAAAUAAUUGGGAAUAUGUUUUAUGAAAAGAAAAUUUCCUACUUGUAAGGCUAAGUUUUUGGGUUAGUAUACAACUACAUUAAGUUUUUAAAUUUAAUAUCUAUGAAAAGAAAUGUCCAAUCCUUCAACUUUGUUAUUUCAACAAGUUCUAUCUGCAAUAUAAUGUUAAAGAACAAAAUAAACAGAUUUGACAGCAAUGUGAAGUUUUCUCAUAUGAGAGGAUUUGAUAUUAGCUUUGUAGGCCAACAAACUCUUUAUCAGUUCCCAAUAUGAUGCUCCAUCACUGAAGUCUUUCCUCAUGGUUUUUACCUCUUUUGUAACCAGGUAAAGGGUUUGAGAAAAAAAUGAGUGCCUUAUCCUAUAAAACAGUGCAUCCAGCAUCUGAGUUCUUCCUCUAUGGGUUGAUAGAAUAUGUGACAGUUAAAUUCUAAGAAUGUCCCCUUCCUUAGUAAAAAGAAAUCAAUAUUAUUUUAAGUAAUGGGCACUGAGAUAAAACAGUAAAUUCUAGACAAACCAAUCCCCACAUUCAGCUGGUAUCAUUUCACUUACAUUGCUAAAACCCUUUAAAAAUUAAUGAACAUUACCAUUCCUCUUCAAAUAUGAGGCUUCAUGACAUUGUAAGGAAUCUUAAUUUAUUUUUAUUAUAUUUCAUUAUUAAAUGAAAAAGUAAUGAUACAGGAGUUAACCACAAAUUAUGAUUUAUAUAUGAUGUGACACUAUAUGCUAUUUUAGUUUACAAUCAAAAUGGUGAAAUAAAAACACUUCUUUUGAUUGGCACAUUUGCGCACUUGUACUAUUUAUAUAUUUUUAUAAUAAACAGAUUUUCCUCAAA